rnacentral:rRNA from 1 species
UACGAAAGGGGCUAGCGUUGUUCGGAAUCACUGGGCGUAAAGGGCGCGUAGGCGGCCAAGUAAGUUAGAGGUGAAAGCCUGGGGCUUAACCUCAGAAUUGCCUUUAAUACUGCUUGGCUGGAGUUUGGUAGGGGAUAGUGGAAUUCCUAAUGUAGAGGUGAAAUUCGUAGAUAUUAGGAGGAACACCAGUGGCGAAGGCGACUGUCUGGGCCAAUACUGACGCUGAGGCGCGAAAGCGUGGGGAGCAAACAGG